rnacentral:lncRNA from 13 species
CCUGAUUCUCCCUAGGCAAUGAGUGAUGCCCAGGUCCCAGGCGCCCCUGUCUGGGGCAAGAGGUGGGCUUAGUCUAGUACCAGCCUAUGGAUGAUUCCCAGAGGAGGAUUUGGGGCUGUUCCUAGAUGUGGUGGAUGCUGGGCAGAGCCCUGGCAAUGCCCACCUGCCCUUUAGAGGGCUUUCCCUUGCUCUGCCUCCUCUGAGCCUCACCAAGCCCUGAGGAAGUUGAGGCUCAGAAUGCCUCUGUGGCCCAUCUAGGACCUCCAUUAGCAAAUGGCCAGGCCUAGACCCCGUGGGCUCCAGUUCCACCCCAACUCCCAGCCAUCUGCCCAGAUCAACUUGCACGGGCUUCUGGCAGAUGCCCUGGGCAUUACUGAAUGCCUAUUUCCUGCAGUCAGCCAGUGGGUGGGAGCACUGGCCAGCAUGCUCCUCCCUGGUCCUGGGGAUCUCCCAGCCCGGGGCCAUGCGACUCCUGGGCAGACUGCCUUCCCCCAGCUUGUGCAGGCUGGUACCAGGCACAGGAGCCCAGCACAAGGCCUCUUAUCAGCCCCUUCAUCUCUUCCCCAGAACAGGCCCAGCCUGCUCGCCUGGCUUGUCACCAUGCUGGGCAGGGAUGGCGUCACCCAGCUGGCUGCAUGAAACUGCUGAAGCCCUGUGGGCUGGGCAUCCUGAACCGCACCCUCCUCACCCAGGGUGGCUGCAGAAUUUACCAGGCCCUCUGCACAAUGAAAAUUCAGUUGUGCUUGUGAUGGCUGGAGUACCGGCAGCUGUUUUGGGCCACGAGGCAGAACUGAGACUGGAAGACAGCACAAGGACAGUGAUAAGUAAGACAGGAGUCGCAUCCUGGAAGAUGCAUGGUCCCUGCCAGCCAGUCAGCCCAGGCUUGUGUCACCUGAGAGAAAAGUAUUAUUCUACCUUGUUGGAGCCUGUUAUUCUGAGCUUUCUCAGAAACACAGCUCUAACCAGUCCAAAGGGCAGGCAGCCAUGUUGGCUCAAAUGCUUCCCCCAGCAAGGCAGGAGGCCACUCCAGUGUCCUGCAAGAAACUUCAUAGGAAAAAGGCUCCCAUCCCCCUACGUCAGGGGUCCGCAUCAGGCCCUUCCUGGGCCCUGGAGUCUCCAUGUGCACCUGAGUGAGGGGCUCUGGGAAGCCUAAGGUUGUGGAGGGCGCCUGUUGACUUCGUUUACAUAGUUUUCUCAAACCUACUUGAUGGAGGAACCCCUUCCUCCCGAAGCAAGGACUUACAGUCAGAAAGGCCUCUGAGAGGCCGCCGUCUUCCCUCACAGCGGGUGGGACAUGCCCCCAAACUGCUGCACUCGGAGGAGCUCGGGCCGGCCCUGGGCACACAGCAAGCCCUCAGGAGGCUGGGGCUGCUGCCAGGGAGCCCAGCAGUGGGGCCACUGCCAGCCCCGUGAGCGGGAAGUUGGGGGCCUUUCUCCUCUCCCCAGCCUCCUCAUUCCGACUGCUGUGGAGCUGUGGCCUGAGCGCUGCCCUGGCCCUCUGCUCAGACCGGCCUGUUCCCUGGGCAGGCCUCAGUGCCGAUAUCAUCUGGCAGAGGCUGGGAGUGGGAGGGGGCUGUGGAGACAUGUGGGAUCACCCCAGGAAGAGUGGGUUUGCAGAGUUGCAGCAGCGUGAAGGCUGUGGGGUUAGAAGUUUAUAAGAGGAACACUAUUUUUCUCUUUUGGCAGAUUUUAAUGGGUGCAGAUUGUUCAGGUCCCAAAGACAUAGAAAAAAAAGAGAGAAAGAAAAAGCCCUUUACUGCUGCUAUUGAUAACUUGUCUCGCUCCACGUGGUGGGUUCAAAACUAAAAAUACUCUCCUUCCAACGGUAGAGAAGCCAGGGCUGUCACGUUGCAGAGGAGAUUGGAGAGUUUCAGUGGGGAGGGGUCAGCUGCAGCCACGUGAGGGCCAGGGCCAGGUCUCGCUCUGGCUGCCCAGGCUGUAUCCACAUGGAAGAUUCCAUAGCUUUCCACAAAAGAGAGUGGGAGAAUGUCCUCUCCGAAGGCCUGGGGAGUGCCUGGGGAGAGGAGACAGCCUCAGCCGGGGCUCACCAGCCAGUAGCUGCCAGCCAGGCCAGCAAUGCCAAGGCACCCGGCGUUCCUGGAAGCCAAGCCCUGUUUGAUCUAAUGGGGCAGCUGUGGGUGCAGACCCAGAUA